CGAAGAACCUUACCAGGUCUUGACAUCCCGAUGCUAUUUCUAGAGAUAGAAAGUUACUUCGGUACAUCGGUGACAGGUGGUGCAUGGUUGUCGUCAGCUCGUGUCGUGAGAUGUUGGGUUAAGUCCCGCAACGAGCGCAACCCCUAUUGUUAGUUGCCAUCAUUCAGUUGGGCACUCUAGCGAGACUGCCGGUAAUAAACCGGAGGAAGGUGGGGAUGACGUCAAAUCAUCAUGCCCCUUAUGACCUGGGCUACACACGUGCUACAAUGGUUGGUACAACGAGUUGCGAGUCGGUGACGGCGAGCUAAUCUCUUAAAGCCAAUCUCAGUUCGGAUUGUAGGCUGCAACUCGCCUACAUGAAGUCGGAAUCGCUAGUAAUCGCGGAUCAGCACGCCGCGGUGAAUACGUUCCCGGGCCUU
rnacentral:rRNA from 1 species